rnacentral:lncRNA from 1 species
GUAUGAAGAGUUUGGAUAAAAUAUGGACAGGAAAACACUUAGCUUGAUAAGCAAAUAAUUAAAGGAAUAACUACUUUUCCUUGAAUAAACUGCCAGUAGUAAAAGGAAAUCACAUUAUGGAAUAUAAUAAAAAAAAGUUUUCAAGAAUUCCAGUGCAACAAGAAUUCUUUCAGGAAGACAUCAGCCAAAAGGAAUAACACUUGUGUUAAUUCCGAUUGCCUGGAAGUGAACGAACAUUCUAGCACUGACACAGUUUGUUGAAGGGUGCAUCUUUUUCCUUUUAAGUCAAAAUAUUUUAUGAAGGAAAUAAUUUGCAUUGAGAAAGCUGCUGUGGGGUUCAUAGGCUAUGGAAUAUAUUUUUUAUUCAUCAAUUCUCAUAUUAUUGCCAAAGGAUCAUCUGAUAUACCUAACAUACCUACAAAUCAGCUUCAUCAGAAGUAAAAAUAAAUGAUUCAGUAGAUGGGAAAAAAUCUAAAUAAAUC